ensembl:lncRNA
CCCAGGCAGGUGGCGGGGGAAGAAAGCCAGCUAGACGGUCACUGCUUGCAAAAGGGACUGCUCUUAUUUCUUUGAUCUUUGUCUAGAUCUAUCCUGUUUUCUGAUAGAGAUAAAAAUCAAAAUUGGGCUGCGUGGGUCCAAAAGGCCCCUGCCUCCCGGUCCUCGGCACAGACCCUUCCAGCUUCUCCGCAAGGCACCAGCGGAGACGCAGAGAAAGCUGCUUCCAGACGGCUGACGCCCUUUCCUUGAAAACAGUGAUUCAAACACAAGGAAUAAAUGAGCACAAUGUUUGUGUUCUCUGGACGCGAAGAAAUACUCGGAAUCUAGCGUCACAGAUUCUCACGGGAGACGUGGACUCUCCAGAGGGUGAUAAGGCAGCUGGGACCUACAAGCCUGUGACCUGUCAGCCCCGGCCCUGUCGAGACAGUAUUUGGGCAAAAUUUAUGCACUUGUUAAACCCGCAUGGCAGCAAUUCCUCUGUCGUUUACGCCAAGAAACUGACUGGAUAA